GAUGGUGAAGGGGCUUAUGAUCGAAUCUAUUGUUGAGUUGCCGGUGAGUUUUAGACCACGAAGAACGACGACAUCUUGGUUCAUUAUGAACUAAAAGAAAAUUUUAAGAAUAUUGAUGAAAUAAUAUAACUUUCUUCUGUUGAUUAAAGAGGGUAACUGAGUCAGUGAACAUAUUCCAAAGAAUGAUCGGGUGGGUGGCAAGAAGAGGGAAUUGAAUAAGAGCAG
rnacentral:lncRNA from 1 species